rnacentral:rRNA from 1 species
CCCUUAGAUGUUCUGGGCUGCACGCGCGCUACACUGAUGCGUUCAACGAGUCUGCCUUGGCCGAGAGGUCUGGGUAAUCUUGUGAAAGCGCAUCGUGAUGGGGAUAGAUUAUUGCAAUUGUUAGUCUUCAACGAGGAAUUCCUAGUAAGCGCGAGUCAUCAACUCGUGCUGAUUACGUCCCUGCCCUUUGUACACACCGCCCGUCGCUCCUACCGAUUGAAUGAUCCGAUGAAUAUCAUGGACUGAGAGUGUUAGAGUUUUCGGACUUCUACACUUCUCGGGAAGUGAAGUGAAUCUUAUCAUUUAGAGGAAGGAGAAGUCGUAACA